rnacentral:misc_RNA from 1 species
UGCUGCUGCUGCUGCUGCUGUUGCUGCUGAGAAUGUUGAGCUUGCUGCGCAUUUUGGGGCAAAUUGGAUCCUUGCUGCUGCAAAUUGGGGUUAGAAUUAGGGUUAGGGUUUUGCUGCUGGAUAUUGAGAGGGCGAUGGAGGCCAGGGGGACGGAGGUGGGCGUCGAUGUUGGAAGGAAAUCGUGAAAUGGCCGCUGCUUGUUGUUGGUGGUGCUGCUGCUGUUGUUGCGCUUGCUUCUGUAAUUGUUGUAAUAAGAGAAAUUGUUGCUGUUGCUGUUGCUGUUGCUGUUGUUGUUGUUGCGCUUGUUGCUGCUGUAAGAGCAAUUGCUGUUGAUCCAUUUCUCCCCCUCUAUCCGUCUCUCUGGCUUUCUCCCUGUGGAACCUUGCUUAAGCCUAUUCCAAUGUAUGACUCUG